rfam:Pteropus alecto contig94356, whole genome shotgun sequence.
AUACUUACGUGACAGGGGAAACACCAUAAUCACAAAGAUGUUUUUCCCAGGGCGAGGCUUGUCCCUUGCACUACAGAUGUGCUGGCCUCUGAGAUUUCCCCAAAUGUGGGAAACUCGACUGCAUAAUUUGUAGUAGAGGAUCGCAUUCACAAUCUACCCUG